rnacentral:rRNA from 1 species
UUCCUACGGGAGGCAGCAGUGAGGAAUAUUGGUCAAUGGUCGGGAGACUGAACCAGCCAAGCCGCGUGAGGGAUGAAGGUACAGAGUAUCGUAAACCUCUUUUGUCAGGGAACAAAGGCGGGGACGUGUCCCCGGAUGAGUGUACCUGAAGAAAAAGCAUCGGCUAACUCCGUGCCAGCAGCCGCGGUAAUACGUAGGGUGCAAGCGUUAUCCGGAUUUAUUGGGCGUAAAGGGCUCGUAGGCGGUUCGUCGCGGCCGGUGUGGAAGUCCCUGGCUUAACGGUGGAUCC